AAAGUGAACAUUGAAGAAGCUGCUUAUAGGUCAAAAGAACCUAUCGAUCAAGUGUUAGAAUAUCCAGUAAGUUUCCAAGACGAUACCUUUUAUUAUUAUUUUACUUUCAUCAAUCAACUCUGGAAACAAACUGAAGUGCACAUGUGCUUAUCCUACUCUAACUACAUCAACAUUUGCCUAAAAAACACUUGGUGUCUAAUUGUCUAGAUCACAAGCUAAGGUUAUGUAACUGUAAGAGCAUCUUUAUCCCAGUCGCUAAUGGGGGUUGCUUAACUUAAUUGUGAUUAAAUAAAAAUAGAAAUUACCUUUUAAUUGAAGCACCGCCGCUUAAUUAAGCGAAGAAAGAGACGGUCGCUUAUGGACACGCGUCCUUCAUUCAAGUCUCCUCCUCUCUCUCAUUGCUCUUUGUUUCUCGGUUUCAUCUCUCUUUCUCUGGCCGCUUCGCGAAAUCAGACGGCUUCGAAUUGAAAACGUCGUGAUUGAUCUCUCGUCGUCGGGUGAAUCAGUCGGCGAUUCCGGUUCUCGUUCUUCACCUCUCUUUGACGACGAUCAAUCGGUGUGUCUUUUCGUGGUUGUUCAAUCAUGCAUGUCUCUCGGUGGCUCUCCUGGACGGCAGAUAUGGAAUCAGGUCUUGGAUUCUUUGGGCUAUAUCCCUUUCCAUUCUUCACCAAGUACACAAGGCUCUGCUUCACCCGAAGUUAACAAAGACGAGGAGAUAUUUGGAGCUUGUUGUCUUGUGUCAUGGUUGUCUUGUAGUAUUGUUGUCUUGUAUUACACUAUUACGGUUGUACUCUUGAAGGUAUUUGGAACUUGUAGGCUUGUACUCAUGUGUUACAGAAUAUUGUCUUGUGUCAAUACUCAAUUGUAUAAUUUGCUAAAAAAAAUUAAGCAACCAAAAAUAA